rnacentral:tRNA from 1 species
GUCCCGCCUGGAUGACGGCGGCACACCGAUGCUCCGGCUGACGGUCGGAGUGCUGGAGAUCCUGGGCCUGUACGAGUCCGGGGCGGCGCU